GGAUGUAUAGACGUUAUUAUGAGCCGUCCUCCCCUCAGCAGCCUCCACUGGUAUAUGUGAUGGGAUGUAUAGACGUUAUUAUGAGCCGUCCUCCCCUCAGCAGCCUCCACUGGUAUAUGUGAUGGGAUGUAUAGACGUUAUGGACAGUAUGUCAAAUCAAAUUGUAUUGGUCACAUACACAUGGUUAGCAGAUGUUAAUGCGAAUGUAGCGAAAUUCUUGUGCUUCUAGUUCCCGACUAUGCAGUAAUAUCUAACAAGUAAUCUAACAAAUUCACAACAACUACCUUAUACAUACAAAUGUAAAGGGAUGAAUAAGACUAUGGAUGAGCAAUGGCCGUGCGGCAUAGGCAAGAUGCAGUAGAAUGUAUAGAAUACAGUAUAUACAGUUGAAGUCAGAAGUUUACGUACAUUAAGGUUGGAGUCAUUAAAACUAGUUUUUCAACCACUCCACACAUUUCUUAACAAAGUUAACAAACUAUAGUUUUGGCAAGUCGGUUAGGACAUCUACUUUGUGCAUGAUACAAGUAAUUUUUUCAACAAUUGUUUACAGACAGAUUAUUUCACUUAUAAUUCACUGUAUCACAAUUCCAGUGGGUCAGAAGUUUACAUACACUAAGUUGACUGUGCCUUUAAACAGCCUGGAAAAUGCCAUAAAAUUAUGUCAUGUCUUUAGAGCUUCCGAUAGGCUAAUUUACAUCAUUUGAGUCAAUUGGAGGUUUACCUAUGGAUGUAUUUCAAGGACUACCUUCAAACUCAGUUCCCCUUUGCUUGACAUCAUGGGAAAAUCAAAAGAAAUCAGCCAAGACCCCAAAAAUGGUAGACCUCCACAAGUCUGGUUCAUUGGGAGCAAUUUCCAAACGCCUGAAGGUACCACGUUCAUCUGUACAAACAAUAGUAAGCAAGUAUAAACACCACAGGACCACGCAGCCUCCGUACCGCUCAGGAAGGAGACGCGUUAUGUCUCCUAGAGAUGAACGUACUUUGGUGCGAAAAGUGCCAAUAAAUCCCAGAACAACAGCAAAGGACCUUGUGAAGAUGCUGGAGGAAACGGGUACAAAAGUAUCUAUAUCCACAGUAAAAUGAGUCCUAUAUCGACAUAACCUGAAAGGCCACUCAGCAAGGAAGAAGCCACUGCUCCAAAACCGCCAUAAAAAAGCCAGACAACGGUUUGCAACUGCACACGGGGACAAAGAUCGUACUUUUUGGAGAAAUGUCCUCUGGUCUGAUGAAACGAAAAUAGAACUGUUUGGCCGUAAUGACCAUCGUUAUGUUUGGAGGAAAAAGGGGGAGGCUUGCAUGCCGAAGAACACCAUCCCAGCCGUGAAGCACGGUGGUGGCAGCAUCAUGUUGUGGGGGUGCUUUGCUGGAGGAGGUACUGGUGCACUUCACAAAAUAGAUGGCAUCAUGAGUUAGGAAAAUUAUGUGGAUAUAUUGAAGAAACAUCUCAAGACAUCAGUCAGGCAGUUAAAGCUUGGCAGCAAAUGGGUCUUCCAAAUGGACAAUGACCCCAAGCAUACUUCCAAAGUUGUGGCAAAAUGGCUUAAGGACAACAAAGUCAAGGUAUUGGAGUGACCAUCACAAAGCCCUGACCUCAAUCCUAUAUAACAUUUGUGGGCAGAACUGAAAAAGCGUGUGCAAGCAAGGAGGCCUACAAACCUGACUCAGUUACAACAGCUCUGUCAGGAGGAAUGGGACAAAAUUCACACAACUUAUUGUGGGAAGCUUGUGGAAGGCUACCCAAAACGUUUGACCCAAGUUAAACAAUUUACAGGCAAUGCUACCAAAUACUAAUUGAGUGUAUGUAAACUUCCGACCCACUGGGAAUGUGAUGAAAGAAAUAAAAGCUGAAAUAAAUCAUUCUCUCUACUAUUAUUCUGACAUUUCACAUUCCUACAAUAAAGUGAUGAUUCCAACUGACCUAAGACAGGGAAUUUUUAUUAGGAUUAAAUGUCAGGAAAUGUGAAAAACUGAGUUCAAAUGUAUUUGGCUAUGGUGUAUGUAAACUUCCAACUUCAACUGUACAUAUGAGAUGAGUAAUGUAGGAUAUGUAUACAUUAUCAAAGUGGCGUUAUUUAAAGUGACAAGUGAUACCUUUUAUUAAAUGUAUUUAAGUGGCCAGAGAUUUGAGUCUGUAUGUUGGCAGCAGCCUCUCUAUAUUAGUGAUGGCUGUUUAACAGUCUGAUGGCCUUGAGAUAGAAGCUGUUUUUCAGUCUCUCGGUCCCAGCUUUGAUGCACCUGUACUGACCUCGCCUGGAUGAUAGCGGGGUGAACAGGCAGUGGCUUGGGUGGUUGUUGUCCUCAAUGAUCUUUUUGGCCUUUCCGUGACAUCGGGUGCUGUAGGUGUCCUGGAGGGCAGUUAGUUUGCCCCCGGUGAUGUGUUGUGCAGACCGCACUACCCUCUGGAGAGCCUUGCGGUCUUGAGGGCGGUGCAGUUGCCGUCCCAGGCGCUGAUACAGCCCGACAGGAUGCUCUCGAUUGUGCAUCUGUAAAGGUUUGUGAGUUAUUUAGAUGGGGGGUGAGUGGUUAUUUUCCUGACACCACACUCAGAGGGCCGUCUCGUCGUUGUUGGUAAUCAGGCCUACUACUGUUGUGACGUAUGCAAAGUUGAUGAUUGAGUUGGAGGCGUGGCCACGCAGUCAUGGGUGAACAGGAAGUACAGAGGGGCCUGAGCACGCACCCUUGUGGGGCCCCAGUGUUGAUCAGCACAGUGGAGGCGUUUUUUCCUACCUUCACCAGCUGGGGACGACCGUCAGGAAGUCCAGGACCCAGAUGCACUGGGCGGGGUUCAGACCCAGAUCCCUGAGCUUAAUGAUGAGCUUGGAGGGUACUAUGGUGUUGAAGGCUGAGCCAAUGAGUUUUACUUACGUUUCACUUGUGCCUGGGAUUUAAUCCAAGACGGUGCACUGGACAGCCGACAUUAAACGUCACAAAGGUAACUUAUGCUUGAGUUGACAUGCGCUACAUUUACAGUGAAUGGGAUCUCUACAAGUGUUGGCAAAAUGUUGUCAGUAUUGUCGACUGUCCAGUCGCCCUAUAACGCCUUGGAUUGAAUUCCUCGUCACUAUUUCAAUUUUUAUCUUUAACACUGAAUUGUUGGAAAAGGACCCAUAAAUGAGCAUUUCACUGUUAGUCAAAUGUAUGUGGCUAUGGUGUAUGUAAACAAUUGGACCUGUUGUUUAAGAAGCAUGUGACAAAUGCCAUUUUAUUUGAUCUUGGCCUUGGUCUCUGAUGUAGCAUACAUUUUGUCAGCAGUUUGUAUAGAUGUAUCAUGGAGUAUGUACAAUUAUCACAUGAAAUUAUGAAUCGGGGCACCAGUCCAUUAUUUGACAAAAUUGAUCAGUUUAGUUGUGUUCAUUUCAAUUCAAUAAAAGGUUCAACAUAUGAAAUUAAAAUGACACUUUUCUGCCUCACUUUCCACAGGCUGUCAGGCUGCAGCAUCACAGAGGAAGGCUGUGCUUCUCUGGCUUCAGCUCUGAGGUCAAACCCCUCCCACCUGAAGGAGCUGGACCUGAGUGGAAAUACUCCAGGAGUCUCUGGAGUAAAGCUGCUCUCUUCUGUACGAGAGGAUCCCCUCUAUACACUGGAGACACUGCGGUUAAAUGAUUGACAGCUCACAGAUUCAGUGAAGGAAUGGCCUCAACUCAAAAUCCUUGGUUGUGGUAGUGCCCCGCAGUUAAAUGUUUUUCCAACAGUUACUAAAUUAAUUUCAAAGUGCAUGAAUGUAAAUAUUUAAUGCUUCGAAUCAAUGAUAAGAGCUCCUUGAAUCUCUCAAUCAAUCAGAGAGGUCUGGCGAAGUGGUGCGAGGGAAAUAACCUCAACAAACAGGUCACCGGGGGCACACUGCCUGCCCUCCAGGACAUCUACCCGGUGUCACAGGAAGGCCAAUAAGAUGAUCAAGGAUCUCAGCCACCCGAGCCACAGCCUGUUCACUUCGCUACCAUGUAGAAGGCGGAGACAGUACAGGACAGAUUUUAUCUCCAGGCCAUCAGACUGUUAAUUAGGGGGGAGGGGUGGGUGGUUGAAGAAACGGGAUGAGAGGUUGAGACCCAAUUUUUUUGUUUUCUUGUUUGAACAUUGUACCGGUGUUCUGUUAGCUUAGUAAAAAGCCCUCCUUUUAUAAUGACGUUAUAUACAUAUUGACUGUAGUCAGCUUCUUCAUCUCAACAACCUUAUAGUCUUCCUAGUGACUGUACAUCUUACCACUGUAUUUCAGUGUAUUAUCUGUCUCAGGAUUGUCUUGUGUUGUACACUGCUUUGUAUCAGCUUGGCUUUUUGAAAAUGUAGCAUUUCUUACAUUCUAUGUGACCCUGUGUGUUAAUCUAUGGUCAACUGUAUUUCAUAUUCUUUAUACCAAGUAAAGCUGUUAUUCAUAUUGCCGUGUGACAUCGUGUCCAUCUGUGAUUGAAUUACAGCUAUGAAUGUUCCUACAGUAAUAAAUAGGUCUACCUGUGUGGUGAAA